CGUUUUGUACAUCGACAUUCUGGGCCUUUUCUAAGACCCUGUGCACAAUUUUUGAAGACCUGUCUCUUCGGAGGCAGGUA
rnacentral:snRNA from 1 species